CGAUUUAGCUCAGUUGGUCAGAGCAUCGCUCUAGUAAAGCGGGGGUCGGAGGUUCGAAUCCUCUAAUCGGC
rnacentral:tRNA from 1 species